GGCUGUGCUGUGCCUGCGGCUCUCCCAUGCAUUGCUGGCAGCAGAAGGGAGAGCAGCGGUGACGGCGGUGCUCCCGGUGCAGGCGAUGCAGAGCACCCCCAAUUACCUCUGGAGCACAGAUGACCUGCUGGGCCAAGGAGCCACGGCCUGCGUCUACAAAGCCCGCAGCAAGAAAUCAGGGGAGCUGGUUGCUGUCAAGGUCUUCAACAAAGCUAGCUACCUGCGCCCGCAGGAGGUGCAGAUGCGGGAGUUUGAGAUGCUGCGGAAGCUGAACCAUACAAAUAUUGUCAAGUUAUUUGCAGUGGAGGAGACAGGCAGCAGCAAGCAGAAGGUGCUGGUGAUGGAGUACUGCUCCAGUGGCAGCCUGCUGAGCGUCCUUGAGGACCCUGCCAACGCUUUUGGCUUGGCUGAGCCCGAGUUCCUCGUGGUGCUGCAGUGCGUGGUGGCAGGGAUGAACCACCUCCGUGAGAACGGCGUUGUGCACCGGGACAUCAAACCUGGCAACAUCAUGCGCCUGGUGGGGGAGGAUGGGCAGAGCAUCUACAAACUGACUGACUUUGGUGCCGCCCGGGAGCUGGAGGACGAUGAAAAGUUUGUGUCUGUCUAUGGGACAGAGGAGUACUUGCAUCCCAACAUGUAUGAGCGUGCUGUCCUGCGGAAGCCACAGCAGAAGGCAUUUGGGGUCACCGUUGACCUAUGGAGCAUCGGUGUCACCUUCUACCACGCUGCCACCGGCCAGCUGCCCUUCAUGCCCUUCGGGGGACCCCGCAGGAACAAGGAGACUAUGUACAAGAUCACCACUGAGAAGCCCCCUGGGGCCAUUGCAGGCGUGCAGCGACAAGAGAAUGGCAGCAUUGAAUGGAGCUACGAGCUGCCCCUCACCUGCCAGCUGUCGGUGGGGCUGAAGGAUCAGCUUGUCCCCAUUCUGGCCAACAUCCUGGAGGCAGACCAGGAGAAAUGCUGGGGCUUCGAUCAGUUCUUUGCAGAAACCAAUGACAUUUUGCACAGGAUCGUGGUCGACGUCUUCUCCCUGCAGCAGGCGUCCUCGCACCGUAUCUACAUCCACUCCUACAACACUACCAGCAAGUUUUUAGAUGCUGUCUUCAAACAAACGGACAUAGUCCCUCACCACCAAGAAUAUUUUUAUGAAGGCCACCCAUAUGAGUUGGACCCCAACCUCCAAGCCCUUAACUUCUGCAGAACAGCCCGGCACAACCCUCUGACCCUGCUGAGCUGUGCUGAGCAUCCAGAAAACGUGGUGGGCGUGAGAUACAGAGAUCCGGCUCUCGACUUCCCCAAGUUUGUCCCCAAGGUGGACGUGGUGGCCGACUGCAGCGCUGCCAAGAGUGCAGUGGGCGCCGUGCACCAGGCGCUGCGGAUCGCUCAGGAGCUGCGGCGGUGCCAGGAGCUGACAGUGCGGGGGCUGCACUGGGUGAUUGGCAACCUGAGGUCUGAGUGCUCGAGGGUUUUGGAGCAGAGGAGAGGGGUGCACGCGGUGCUCUCUGGGCUGCAGCUGAUGGAGGGGAAGACCCGUGGGCUGUAUGAGGCCAUUCCUGGGGGCAGUGCACUGCCAGCCCUGAGGGACGUGGCUGCAGUGAAGAUGCGGCUGCAGAGGGUGGCAGAGGAGCUUUCCCAGUGUUCCCACAGCAUCUUUGAUUUCCAAGGGGUCCUGGAUGGGAUGGUGUCCGAACUGGUGCAGCAUGGGCAACAAGCUCACAAAGACAAAAGCAUCCAGCAGAUCGAGUGCUGUCUGGAGAAGAUGCAGCUCAUCUACAAGCAGUUCCGCAAAGCCAGGAUGUGUCCAGCACUGGGCUUCAAUGAGGAGCAGAUACACAAACUGGACAAGGUGAAUUUGGGGCACUUGGCCAGGAAGGUGCUGCUCAUCUUCCAGGAGGAGUGUGCACAGCAGUACCAGGAGGCUCUGGCCCUGCAUGGCAGCAGGAUGAGGAAAGUCUGUGAGAUAAAGAAGCACCUGAAGAGGCUCAGCAACCGCAUCAGCACCUACAGUGUGGAGGCCAGCGAGUGCCAGGACUGCCUGCAGCUGGCUUUGGACAAGUUCCUGCAGACAGUUGUGCCAGAGAAACGCAGCCUGGCUCUGGUCCCUGCAGUGCCUUCGCCCGUUCCCCUAAGCCAAAUGUGCCAGGAGAUGGCUUUGCAGAUGCAGGAGCUGCUGGAGGAGAUGAAGUCAGUAUCGUGCGGCCUCCAGUUCAACAACAGCAUCAUCGAGCGGUGAGUAGAGCACUUGGAGAGCCCUGUGUUCUGCACUGUGCCGGGCACUGAGCACAGCCACAGCUGUCCCAGCAUCACCCUGGCAUGUGGAUGUGACCUGCAUCACCCUUUGGCAGCAGAGAGAGUUUGUCUUUCUUGGAAAUUUAAGCAUAACCCCCUGCAAAUGCUGUGCAACGCCCACCACCCUCUGUGCAGCCCUUUGCCUGUGCUGCUCCGUGCUGCAAAGCUCAGCAUCCUGCUGCUGGCACGGCCCCUUGGGCUUCUUCCUCUGCAUCCUUUCUCCCAGGGCCUUAAUGCACACCAGCAGUCUGGUUAUGCAUACCAAAAUCUCAAAGAGUUUCGGUCUGGAUUUUAAAAGAAAACCAUCAGUGGUUCACCCCAACCUUGUUUGUGUGCGGUGCUGCAGCACAUCCACAGUGAAUGCAACAAGGGAAGAAGGGAAGAAAUUACAGAAGCAGCCGUGGGACCAAGCUCAGGCUGCAAAAGAGAACAGGGGAUCGCUGCCAGCACCACAGGUCCUGCACUGCGCACUGCUCCAACACUGCCUUGGUGUUAAAGCAGCUCUCUG